rnacentral:rRNA from 1 species
GACGAACCGUGCGAACGUUAUUCGGAAUCAUUGGGCUUAAAGCGCGUGUAGGCGGCUUCGUGCGUCUGUCGUUGAAAUCCCCCGGCUCAACCGGGGAAGUGGCGCGGAUACGACGAGUCUGGAGGGGCAUAGGGGGACCUGGAACUUCCGGUGGAGCGGUGAAAUGCGUUGAGAUCGGAAGGAACGCCCGUGGCGAAAGCGAGGUCCUGGAUGCCUACUGACGCUGAGACGCGAAAGCCAGGGGAGCGAACGGG